UGGGCGGACGGGUGAGUAAUGUCUGGGAAACUGCCGAUGGAGGGGGAUAACUACUGGAAACGGUAGCUAAUACCGCAUAACGUCGCAAGACCAAAGAGGGGGACCUUCGGGCCUCUUGCCAUCGGAUGUGCCCAGAUGGGAUUAGCUAGUAGGUGGGGUAACGGCUCACCUAGGCGACGAUCCCUAGCUGGUCUGAGAGGAUGACCAGCCACACUGGAACUGAGACACGGUCCAG
rnacentral:rRNA from 1 species